GGGGACGUGGUCUAGCUUGGUGGGAUGCCGGCCUUGGGAGCCGGAGGUCAGGGGUUCAAAUCCCCUCGUCCCCA
rnacentral:tRNA from 1 species